CAAGUACGCUUUUGCAUUCAUAAUGUUUCACUGUAAAAAUGUUAUUAUAUAUGUUUUUAUAUUUUCGUCAUUAAAAUGCAUGUAAAUUCGUUUUCUAAAUUUAUUCAUAUAUCUAAUCACCGCUACACAAGAUCAAUCAUUUCUGCUUCUAAGAGUUGCAUCUGACAUACAGUCUAUUUCUGAGUUCCCAACUACCAGUUACACGCGCUAAACUUCUGAGACCCAAGCCAACCGCGCGUCAUGAUGCUAAACGAAAUUAUCCAUUUAGCGGGCAACAACCUGCGAAGGCUUCCUUUGAAGAUGCAUUGACCUUUGCAUUUCGGCUCUGAGCAAUCCGUCCAAACUACGGAGAGAAACUUGACUGGGGGGAAUUGAAUAGACUGACAGAAAGAGAUGUCGCGAUGUCACCUAAAUUACGUGUGCACAAUUGCGAGCAGUUAAUGAUCGGGAAUCUACCUUCGGGCAGAUUCGCGACCUUCAGAGAUGAUGACCCUGAAAUCGCGACUAUCUGAGGCUUCCUUCAAUUUCAAUCAGCCACUUCGAUUCGAUCCGUGGAAGAGGCAAAAGUGGUCGGAAAUUUUGUGCCGCGUCGUGGUGUAAUUUGGAAGGUAGUGACGAUAUGGUGGCCCUAGUUAGAUAGUAAUUAAUUACCUUUCCCUUUAGAUAGAAUUCGACAUAGCGAAAUUGUAGUCGAUUAAGUGGCGGCAAAGUGCGUGAAUUGAGUGCGUUUAAGGUUCGUGGCAGCCGGGCAUUUGCCGUUACACCACCAUCCCACUAGAGACCGCUUUUGACCCCAUCGAUCGGCAUCGAAGGUCCCGGGGCACACGUGGCCGGAAGAGGGC